rnacentral:lncRNA from 1 species
CUGUGACUGUAUUUUUUAACUUGCACAAAAGCAAUUGUGUUACUCCCUUUUCACGUGCUGAUUUCACUGGUGGCUGGGUGCUUCCAAUACCCAGGCACUGAUUUUCAGUGCUGCAGCUUAUUCUAUGGAAUGCAUCCCUCCUAGUGCAUGCCAGAUGGGUGUCCAUCCAUUGGACAUGUGCAGUUUUGUUUUGGAGGGGCAGGUUACAAGGGAUUGAAUUCAGGGGCACUUGACCACUGAGCCACAUUCCCAGCCCUAUUUUGUAUUUUAUUUAGAGACAGGGUCUCACUGAGUUGCUUAGCACCUCACUGGUGCUGAGGCUGAAUUUGAACUCGCAAUCCACCUGUCUCGGCCUCCCGAGCCACUGGGAUUACAGGCGUAUGCCACCAUGCCUGGCUCAUGUGCAGUUUUUCCUUCGCUUUUCCGUGUUGCAAACAAUCCUGUGAUGGAUCUCCUUCAUCCUAUUCUCUCAUGUGAAACUUCCUUCAGGAUUUAUACCCAGGGGAGAUCAACUGAGUUGCAGAAUCUCAGACAUCUAAUUAAUACUGCCAGCUUUGUUGCCUGAACCACAAAUCUAGGUAACUAGAAAUUAUGUGCUUUUUUGUGAGUCUCUGAAGUACUUAGCACCACCUAUGGCUUGGUCUUGCAGGGGAAAAACAAGUGGGAAGUGAGAAUAAAUGUAGCUAGCGAUGGUCCAUAGGGGUUAGAUGUAUGCUAUCUCUACUUCUGUGCUUUGUUGGAAAUUUGAUAAUAAAAGUAAUAUAUAGGGGCUGGGGUUGUGGCUCAGUGGUAGAGCACAUGCCUUGCACGUGUGAGGCACUGGGUUCCAUCUUUAGCACCACAUAAAAAUAAAAUAAAGGUAUUUUGUGUCCGUCUACAACUUAAAAAAAAAUUUUUUUUUAAAGUAAUACAUAAACAUAAGCACUCAUGCAGUAAAUCCACCACUCUGGUUUUCAGUUGUAUAUUGCUGAACUUAAUCCUUCCUUGAUUUAUUAAAUUUAUACAAAUUGGGACAAAUUACACAGUACAGAAAUAAUGAGAAUCACUUAAAGAACUUUAGCAAAGGGAUAAAAGAGAAAUAAAUAAAAAUACACCUUUAUGAAUUCAGAUGCUAAGAGAUACGCUUUGUAACUUUUUACCUUUCCAUCUGUGGCCUCAAAAUUGUCUUAAUUCUUUUUACUACCAUUUUCAAACUUGUGGUAAGUUCCAUGUCUUAACAUCUAAAAGUGUUAUUUUUAUUUAAAAUUUUCCACAUAUUAUUACUUUUUACAUUACGUAUCUUCUUUUUAGCUCUAAUGUUGUUAUGGAAAAUUCUGAUAUUCAUUUUAUUUUUCUUGGUCUUAAUUGAUUCAUUUUAUCUCUCUGGAAACUUUUAUAAUUGUUUUCCUUUGAAAUUAUUACAAAGUGUC